CAACAGGGAUACCUCAGUAACGGCGAGUGAAGCGGUAACAGCUCAAAUUUGAAAUCUGGCAGCAAUGUCCGAGUUGUAAUUUGUAGAGGAUGUUUCGAGCAUGGUCUGGCCUAAGUUCCUUGGAACAGGACGUCAUAGAGGGUGAGAAUCCCGUAUGCGGUCAGGUGCCUACGCUCAUGUGAAACUCCUUCGACGAGUCGAGUUGUUUGGGAAUGCAGCUCAAAAUGGGUGGUAAAUUUCAUCUAAAGCUAAAUAUUGGCCAGAGACCGAUAGCGCACAAGUAGAGUGAUCGAAAGAUGAAAAGCACUUUGGAAAGAGAGUUAAACAGUACGUGAAAUUGUUGAAAGGGAAGCGCUUGCAACCAGACUUGCACGCAGCUGAUCAUCCGCUGUUCUCAGUGGUGCACUCGGUUGCGUUCAGGCCAGCAUCGGUUUUGGUGGUGGGAUAAAGGCCUUAGGAAUGUAGCUGCUUUCGGGCAGUGUUAUAGCCUAGGGUGCAAUGCCGCCUACUGGGACCGAGGACCGCGCUUCGGCUAGGAUGCUGGCGUAAUGGUUGUAAGCGACCCGUCUUGAAACACGGACCAAGGAGUCUAACAUCUAUGCGAGUGUUUGGGUGUCAAACCCAUACGCGUAAUGAAAGUGAACGGAGGUCAGAACCCUUAAGGGUGCAUGAUCGACCGGUCCUGAAGUCUUCGGAUGGAUCUGAGUAAGAGCAUAGCUGUUGGGACCCGAAAGAUGGUGAACUAUGCCUGAAUAGGGUGAAGCCAGAGGAAACUCUGGUGGAGGCUCGCAGCGGUUCUGACGUGCAAAUCGAUCGUCAAAUUUGGGUAUAGGGGCGAAAGACUAAUCGAACCAUCUAGUAGCUGGUUCCUGCGAAGC
rnacentral:rRNA from 1 species